GAACUCUACCCCUUGCAACGCAUCACCUGAUCAGUGGGGGUGGGGUCUUGAUUCAGACCGCGAGGCUACUGCUGGCCGGCCCUGCAGCCGCGAUGUCGAUGUUCGCUUUCCCAGAGCUCUACUUCAACGUGGACAACGGCUAUGUGGAUGCGUUGGUCCGGGGCUUCAAGGCCGGGUUCCUCAGAAUGGCAGAUUACCGUCAGUUGGAGCAGUGUGAAACGCUUGAAGAUAUGAAACUACAUCUCCAGACCACGGACUAUGGAAACUUCCUAGCGAAUGAGAUAUCCCCACUAACAGUGUCAAUCCUUGACGACAAACUCAAGGAGAAGAUGGUAGCCGAGUUCCAGCACUUGAGGAAUCAGGCCUACCAACCAUUGGCCGGCUUCCUGGACUUCAUCACCUACAGCUACAUGAUCGACAAUGUCAUCUUGCUGAUAACAGGGACCUUGCACCAUCGCUCAGUUGCGGAGCUUGUGCGGAAGUGCCAUCCUCUAGGCGGGUUUGAGCAGAUGGAGGCGGUGAGCAUUGCUCAAACCCCAGAAGAAUUAUAUAACGCUAUCUUAGUGGAUACCCCACUGUUUUCCUUCUUCCAAGAUUGCAUCUCUAAGGAGGACCUCGAACAAAUGAACAUCGAAAUUAUUCGAAACACAUUAUACAAAGCCUAUCUAGAGGCUUUCUAUAAAUUCUGUAGCACACUAGGCGGUGUCACGGCAGAUACUAUGUGCCCUAUCCUGGAGUUUGAAGCUGACCGCAGAGCCUUCAUCAUCACCAUCAACUCAUUUGGCACUGAGCUCUCCAAGGAGGAGCGGGCCAAGCUGUUCCCACAUUGUGGGAUACUCCACCCUGAUGGUUUGACCCUGCUAGCUCAGGCUGAGGACUACAAAGAGGUCAAAACUGUGGCUGAUUACUACCCGCAGUAUAAACUGCUCUUUGAAGGGGCUGGCAACCAUCCUGGUGAGAAAACCUUGGAGGACCUAUUAUUUGAGCAUGAGGUGAAAUUGAAUAAGCUGACCUUUAUCAAACACUUCCACUUUGGCGUCUUCUAUGCCUUCGUGAAGCUCAAAGAACAGGAAUGCCGAAACAUUGUGUGGAUUGCCGAGUGCAUCUCCCAGCGCAAUCGGACCAAGAUCCACAGCUAUAUCCCCAUCUUCUAGAACCCCUCUCUGAUCCCUUGUUUCCUACCUUUUGGCCAUGACAUUCUAUGAGGCCCCCUGAGGACAGAAAGUGGUCCCUCUGUCCCCCCUCCCCAAUAUUGUGCAUAUAUGGGUUUGUAGGGAUCACUGUUUUGGCUUCUUCCAUAUAUACUUGAUAUUGAAGAAGCAAGGCUUCUUCUCCCUUCCCCCUAUCCUCUGUCCUCUAGACUUAGACCUCUGGAGCUGUUAGGGCUGGAGUUUUGGGAGCUAAGAGCCAGGUACCAGAGCUGACCCUCCCAGCCUCACAAGUAGUCUCUGUAACUUGUGUGGUUAAAAAAAAACCUGCCCCCCAAAAAAGAUGAAUAGAGGGGUACCCCUAUCUUGAUGUUUUUCAAUUGUUAAAGGAAUCUGAGAAACAUUCUGAGUCAUUUUGAUAUUUCUUCAGGAAAGCCAGCUUGAUCACAACUCUUGCCAUCCUCUUAUCUACUCCAGGGCCAAAUUCUCAGUGGAAAUUCCCAUUGUAUGUAUAGGGACAGGGGAGUACCUCACAUAGUCAUUCUCUCCCUAACAUACACCUGGGUGCACACAUAUAGACCUUUCCAUUAGCACAAGCUAGGGCUCUGGCUCUGGAAAUUAAGUAGUUUUUCCUCUUCCUGUCAUUCUUUACCAGGAGGCUUUGGUACAAAAGUCAGGGAACUGUGCAGAAUUUUCUCUUAUCAAAUGGGGUGUCUCUCUUCUCUCAAACUCAUCCUAAAUUAUUUGUGUGUGUGUGUGUGUGUGUGUGUGUGUGUGUGUGUUUCUCUUAACAAUGAAGCUUCCCAUUCUGUGAAAUAAUAAAAUGUUAAGAGAUUUA